rnacentral:rRNA from 1 species
UACGUAGGGUGCAAGCGUUGUCCGGGAAUUAUUGGGCGUAAAGAGCUCGUAGGCGGUCUGUCGCGUCGGCUGUGAAAACUCGGGGCUCAACUCCGAGCUUGCAGUCGAUACGGGCAGGCUAGAGUUCGGCAGGGGGAGACUGGAAUUCCUGGUGUAGCGGUGAAAUGCGCAGAUAUCAGGAGGAACACCGGUGGCGAAGGCGGGUCUCUGGGCCGAUACUGACGCUGAGGAGCGAAAGCGUGGGGAGCGAACAGG